rnacentral:rRNA from 1 species
GACUCCUACGGGAGGCAGCAGUGGGGAAUAUUGGACAAUGGGCGCAAGCCUGAUCCAGCAAUGCCGCGUGUGUGAAGAAGGCCUUCGGGUUGUAAAGCACUUUUAUCAGGAGCGAAAUGCCAUGGGCUAAUACCCCGUGGAGCUGACGGUACCUGAGGAAUAAGCACCGGCUAACUUCGUGCCAGCAGCCGCGGUAAUACGAAGGGUGCAAGCGUUAAUCGGAAUUACUGGGCGUAAAGGGUGCGUAGGCGGUUAUUUAAGUCUGCCGUGAAAUCCCCGGGCUCAACCUGGGAAUGGCGGUGGAUACUGGAUAGCUAGAGUGUGUCAGAGGAUGGUGGAAUUCCCGGUGUAGCGGUGAAAUGCGUAGAGAUCGGGAGGAACAUCAGUGGCGAAGGCGGCCAUCUGGGACAACACUGACGCUGAAGCACGAAAGCGUGGGGAGCAAACAGGAUUAGAUACCCUGGUAGUCCACGCCCUAAACGAUGCGAACUGGAUGUUGGUCUCAACUCGGAGAUCAGUGUCGAAGCAAACGCGUUAAGUUCGCCGCCUGGGGAGUACGGUCGCAAGACUGAAACUCAAAUGAAUUGACGGGG